rnacentral:misc_RNA from 1 species
AGGAGGUACACCAAGUAGGGCAGAAAUUCCAUUGGUAUGAAGAAUUAGUCCGAGUUACCCUAGGUCCUGGUAAAAGAGGUCAGUGGACAUGGAGAAAUUCGCGUGAUUCUAGAUAUGUAGUCAUGUUUGGGCCUCUGUUUGAGGAUCUAAGGGGUCCACCAAAGUAUAUGCUCUCUCAGAUUGCAGUAGGAAAUCCUAACAAGCAUCCUGACAAAGUCAUUGCAACAGAUGAUGAGACGGAAGAUGCGGAAGCACCUUUCAUCCAGAAGCUGUUUGGGAUUCUAAGAAUAUACUUCACAUUUCUUGAAUUUGUGAAGCGUGUUUGUCUUGGAAUUGUGGCUGGUACUUAUUUGAAGAGUUUGUCUUCAAAAUCUCCCAUAGUUGUCCUGCUUACCAUCACUUCUUUCCAGCUAUUCUUCAUGCUUCUGAAGAAGCCUUUCAUUAAAAAAAAGGUUCAGCUUGUUGAGAUCAUCUCUGUUGCCUGCGAAACAGGUAUUUUCGCUGCGUGCAUUGCUCUCAUAGGAAGAAAUUCGUCCAGAAAUGAGACAGCAAUCGGUAUCACCAUGAUUGCACUGUUUUUCAUAGCAUUUUUAGCUCAGCUUGUAAAUGAAUGGUAUGCAUUAUACAGACAGACAAAGAGACUCGGUGCUGAAGACAAGUCUUUCUGCUCUGGUCUGAAAGCAGCAUCUAUUGGAUUCCUCUUGUUUUUCAUUCCUCAAAGAUUGAUCAGAAAGCUUGAAAGUGGGUCUGCACUGUUAGAUCGUGUACUGAAGGAAACCGGGGAUGUUACUUCGUCUUGUGACAGGAAUCGGAGUUCUGGUAGUAGAAGCUCAGGUACUGAUAGACCAUUCACUAGGCAAUUCAGAGAACUAGCAAAGUCCAGCUUUAGUAAAGAUAGUAAUGUAACUACAAGUGAUCCGUCAACAAGUCGUGUUAGAUGGAGUGGAUUCUGGAACCCUAAGAGAAGUGGGAGCUCAUCUAAAGAUUCAUCAGCAGAUUUCAAGUCAAAACCAAGAGGAUUGUACAAAGAUUUAGAAGCUAUUUUUGCUUCCAAGUCAUAGACCUCUCUUAUUCAUACAACAAUAUGGAGUUCA